UACGUAGGUGACAAGCGUUGUCCGGAUUUACUGGGCGUAAAGAGCGCGCAGGCGGUCGUUCAAGUCGAGUGUGAAAGCCCCCGGCUCAACUGGCGAGGGUCAUUCGAUACUGAUCGACUCGAAGGCAGGAGAGGGAAGUGGAAUUCCCGGUGUAGUGGUGAAAUGCGUAGAUAUCGGGAGGAACACCUGCGGCGAAGGCGGCUUCCUGGACUGCAACUGACGCUGAGGCGCGAAAGCUAGGGGAGCAAACAGG
rnacentral:rRNA from 1 species